AGAGUUUGAUCCUGGCUCAGGAUGAACGCUAGCGGCAGGCUUAACACAUGCAAGUCGAGGGGUAACAGGGAUUGCUUGCAAUCCGCUGACGACCGGCGCACGGGUGCGUAACGCGUAUGCAACCUACCUUCUACAGGGGGAUAGUCAAUAGAAAUGUUGAAUAAUACCCCAUACGAUCUUUGAAUAGCAUUAUUUAAAGAAGAAAGCUCCGGCGGUAGAAGAUGGGCAUGCGUCCUAUUAGUUAGUUGGUAAGGUAACGGCUUACCAAGACUUCGAUAGGUAGGGGUCCUGAGAGGGAGACCCCCCACACUGGUACUGAGACACGGACCAGACUCCUACGGGAGGCAGCAGUGAGGAAUAUUGGACAAUGGAGGCAACUCUGAUCCAGCCAUGCCGCGUGCAGGAAGACUGCCCUAUGGGUUGUAAACUGCUUUUAUACAGGAAGAAAUAUACCUACGUGUAGGUAUUUGACGGUACUGUACGAAUAAGGAUCGGCUAACUCCGUGCCAGCAGCCGCGGUAAUACGGAGGAUCCAAGCGUUAUCCGGAAUCAUUGGGUUUAAAGGGUCCGUAGGCGGUCUUUUAAGUCAGAGGUGAAAUCCUACAGCUCAACUGUAGAAUUGCCUUUGAUACUGAAAGACUUGAGUUAUUGUGAAGUAGUUAGAAUGUGUGGUGUAGCGGUGAAAUGCAUAGAGAUCACACAGAAUACCGAUUGCGAAGGCAGAUUACUAACAAUAUACUGACGCUGAGGGACGAAAGCGUGGGUAGCGAACAGGAUUAGAUA
rnacentral:rRNA from 1 species